GUCUAUGGCCAUGCUACCCUGAACAAGCCUGAUCCCAUCUGAUCUCGGAAGCUAAGCAGGGUCGGGCCUGGUUAGUACUUGGAUGGGAGACCACCUAGGAAGACCAGGUGCUGUAGGCA
rnacentral:rRNA from 1 species